UUACAUCCGAGUCGCCUGUGCCCGGGGUGUGUGUACGUGUGUGCAUGCGCGCCAGGGACAGGAUGAUUUCACGUUGCUCUAUUUUCUCAGAAGAUGGGAUUUUCUUACAAUUUUGGGAAAUCAUUUUCAGAAAACCCACUUUUCCCUCCGUCGUUCUGCAGUGCACAGGCUGGGCUUGAACUCCUGAACCUCCUGCCUCAGCCGCCACGUCACCCUGCGCGGGGGGUCCCCGCGAGCUCCUUAACUCCUCGACCCAGACCGACGCGGCGACCCACUUGCUUUUGGCUUGGCUUGGGCAGUGUGCGAUCGGAGCACCAGGGGGCGCUCUGCCACCGCCGGAGCUAGGCUGAGUCUCCAGGGGUGGCCGGCCACUGGCAGGGAGACCUGGCCCCGCGCAACGGACGAGGUGAAGCUGCCGGCCAAGCUGAGUGUGAGCAAGUCGCUGAAGGACGCCGAGGCUCUGCCCGAGGGAGAAGACGCGGGUGAGGGCACGCGGCCCGAGGAUGAGGAGGACGCGGCGGCCCCCGAGCUGUCGUCCGAUGAGGCGGUGGAGGUGGAAGAGGUAAUCGAGGAGUCGCGCGCGGAACGGAUCCGGCGCAGCGGG